AGCAGCCGCGGUAAUUCCAGCUCCAAUAGCGUAUAUUAAAGUUGUUGCAGUUAAAAAGCUCGUAGUUGAAUUUCGGGGUUAGUAGGUUGGUCAUGCCUCUGGUAUGUACUGGUCUCACUGAUUCCUCCUUCCUGAUGAGCCGUAAUGCCAUUAAUUUGGUGUUGCGGGGAAUUUGGACUGUUACUUUGAAAAAUUAGAGUGUUUAAAGCAAGCUAACGCUUGAAUACAUUAGCAUGGAAUAAUGAAAUAGGACGUUCGAUCCUAUUUCGUUGGUUUCUAGGAUUGACGUAAUGAUUAAUAGGGAUAGUUGGGGGCAUUAGUAUUCAAUUGUCAGAGGUGAAAUUCUUGGAUUUAUUGAAGACUAACUACUGCGAAAGCAUUUGCCAAGGAUGUUUUCAUUAAUCAAGAACGAAAGUUAGGGGAUCGAAGACGAUCAGAUACCGUCGUAGUCUUAACCAUAAACUAUGCCGACUAGGGAUCGGAUGAUGUUAAUUUUUAAUGACUCAUUCGGCGCCUUAAC
rnacentral:rRNA from 1 species